rnacentral:rRNA from 1 species
AUUGAACGCUAGCGGGAUGCUUUACACAUGCAAGUCGAACGAGUGGCGGACGGGUGAGUAAUAUAUCGGAACGUGCCCAGUAGCGGGGGAUAACUACUCGAAAGAGUGGCUAAUACCGCAUAAUAUUGGAGCGGCCGAUAUCGGAUUAGCUAGUUGGUGGGUUAAAGGCUCACCCAGGCAACGAUCCGUAGCUGGUUUGAGAGGACGACCAGCCACACUGGGACUGAGACACGGCCCAUACUCCUACGGGAGGGAGCAGUGGGGAAUUUUGGACUAUGGGGGCAACCCUGCUCCAGCCCUACCGUGUGUAUGAGAAGGCCUCCGGGUUGUAAAGUACUUUUGGCAGAGAAGCGGAAUCUGCAGAAUAAGCACCGGCUAACUACGUGCCAGCAGCCGCUGUAAUAC